AAUCAACGCUGGCGGCGUGCCUCAGACAUGCAAGUCGAACGAUUAAAGCUCUCUUCGGAGAGUGCAUAGAGUGGCGCACGGGUGAGUAACACGUAAGUAAUCUACCUUCGAGUGGGGAAUAACAUCGGGAAACCGAUGCUAAUACCGCAUAAUGCAGCGGCAUCGCAAGAUGACAGUUGUUAAAGAUUUAUCGCUUGAAGAGGAGCUUGCGGCAGAUUAGCUAGUUGGUAAGGUAAUGGCUUACCAAGGCUACGAUCUGUAACCGGUCUAAGAGGACGGUCGGUCACACUGACACUGAAUAACGGGUCAGACUCCUACGGAGGCAGCAGUCGGGAAUUUUGGGUCGAAUGGGCGAAAGCCUGACCCAGCAACGCCGCGUGAAGGAUGAAGUAUUUCGGUAUGUAAACUUCGAAAGAAUAGGAAGAAUAAAUGACGGUACUAUUUAUAAGGUCCGGCUAACUACGUGCCA
rnacentral:rRNA from 1 species